rnacentral:rRNA from 1 species
UGCAAGUUGCACGAGAGUUUUUAACUCUAGUAGCGGACGGGUGAGUAACACGUGAGAAUCUGCCCUUAGGAAGAGGAUAACAGCUGGAAACGGUUGCUAAUACUCUAUAUGCUGAAAAGUGAAAGAAUGUAUUUGCCUAAGGAGGAGCUCGCGUCUGAUUAGCUAGUUGGUAAGGUAAAGGCUUACCAAGGCGACGAUCAGUAGCUGGUUUGAGAGGACGAUCAGCCACACUGGGACUGAGACACGGCCCAGACUCCUACGGGAGGCAGCAGUGGGGAAUUUUCCGCAAUGGGCGAAAGCCUGACGGAGCAAUACCGCGUGAGGGAUGAAAGCCUUUGGGUUGUAAACCUCUUUUCUCAAGGAAGAAGUUCUGACGGUACUUGAGGAAUAAGCAUCGGCUAACUCUGUGCCAGCAGCCGCGGUAAUACAGAGGAUGCAAGCGUUAUCCGGAAUCACUGGGCAUAAAGCGUCUGUAGGUUGUUUAGUAAGUCUGCUGUUAAAUACUAGGGCUUAACCCUAGGCCAGCAGUGGAAACUGCUAGACUUGAGUGUGGUAGAGGUAGAGGGAAUUCCUGGUGUAGCGGUGAAAUGCGUAGAUAUUAGGAAGAACACCAAUGGCGAAAGCACUCUACUGGGCCAUAACUGACACUAAGAGACGACAGCUAGGGGAGCAAAUGGGAUUAGAUACCCCAGUAGUCCUA